CUGAGGACCGCCGGCUGCCCGGCUCCGAGAAGAACAGAGCUUCUGGAAGCUGCACUACCUGCUCACUGCUUCAUCUCCCAACGUCAGUCAGUCGACUCCUUCGUGACAGGAAGAGCUACGGAGUUGACAUGAACUUGAGCUGACAUAAAAUCAUCUGCCAGCUUCCUCCACUGCCUCCGACUGAGAAAAAGAGAAAACAACUACCGAUGACCCUUCUUGGAAAACCAGACAUUUGUUUUCUGAAGCUCUUAAAGGAGACGCUCAGACCUCAUUAUGGUAAAACACAAGUGCCUGUUACCCCAGGGUGAAUGACACCCUUUACUACCCAGCAGGAAUGCAAAGACAAAAGUCUGGGUCCUGAACAACCCUGUGAUCCUUUUGCUAAUCCAGUGUAGACAUGGUCAGUGUAAACAUAA